CCUAUGAGAGGUUGGAUCUUGAGAGAACAGAGAGCGCAUUACAACGCAGCAGAUCUUUGGGAAAAAAAUAGAACUAGAACAUCUCAGGGCCUUCAGCAAAUCUCGAGAACUCGCUCGACUUGAACAAGAUCUAGAGGUCAAGAGACGGGAAAGACUCGCUAGAGAACAACUCGACGUGUCUCUGCGUUUAUCUCGAGUCCGGUAUCUGGAGGACCUAGAACUCGACAAAAUCAGACUGGCACGUAGAAAUCUUUACCUUUGAUUAACUCGGGCCUUAAAUAAAAUGAUGGAUGUUGACUACACAGACAAUGUCAAUAGAUUUAGAUGAGGACUGAGGAUCUAGUGAUAUGAAGUAGGC